CGUGUAGGCGGCCAAGCAAGUCAGAGGUGAAAGCCCUGGGCUCAACCUGGGAACUGCCUUUGAAACUGCUUGGCUUGAGACCGGAAGAGGAUGGCGGAAUUCCCAGUGUAGAGGUGAAAUUCGUAGAUAUUGGGAAGAACACCGGUGGCGAGGGCGGCCAUCUGGUCCGGUUCUGACGCUGAGGCGCGAAAGCGUGGGGAGCAAACA
rnacentral:rRNA from 1 species